rnacentral:tRNA from 1 species
GGGAAUGUAGCUCAGUGGGUAGAGUGUUAGCUUAGGAUGUCUUAGGUCCUGAGUUCAAGCCUCUGUGUUUUUA